rnacentral:rRNA from 1 species
AGCACUAAGUCACUUUGUCUUUAUGGCAAAUGUGAGAUGCAGUGUAAGGAGUGUCAAAUUUCUAGUAUGAGAAAUUAACGAUUUAAGUCCUUCUUAAAUGAGGCCACUUACCCAUAGAGGGUGCCAGGCCCGUAUAACGUUAAUGAUUACUAGAUGGCAUUUCCAAAGAGUCGUGUUGCUUGAUAGUGCAGCACUAAGUGGGUGGUAAACUCCAUCUAAAACUAAAUAUAACCAUGAGACCGAUAGUAAACAAGUACCGUGAGGGAAAGUUGAAAAGAACUCUGAAUAGAGAGUUAAAUAGUACGUGAAACUGCUUAGAGGUUAAGCCCGAUGAACCUGAAUAUCCAUUAUGGAAAAUUCAUCAUUAUGAUUUUAAUAUUUAUAAUAUUAUAAUAAUGUUGUGCAUUUUUUCUAUAAAGGACAUUGUAAUCUAUUAAUAUUAAAAAUUUAUCAUAAGAUCGAUUGCAAAAGUUUAUUCAAAUUAUUUUGCUUGCAAUUUAACAGAGAAUAAAUGCUAUCGAUUUGAUAAAGUGUUGAUAGAUUUAUUAUAUAUAGUGCUUAAAUAUAUUAUAUUUUAUAGUAGCAUAUUAAUCAUUGAUUUUUAUGUUUAUUAUAUGCACUUAUAUGAUUAACAAUGCGAAAGAUUCAGGAUACCUUCGGGACCCGUCUUGAAACACGGACCAAGGAGUCUAACAUAUUUGCAAGUUAUUGGGAAUAAAAACCUAAUAGCGAAAUUAACAUAACUUAUAUUUAAAUGGGAUUAGUUUUUAGCCUAUUUUAUAGUCUAUUAAUUCAAUCCCGGGGCGUUUUAUACAGUUAUGUAUAAUAGUAUUUAUACUAUUUAUACCUCUAACUAGAGCGUACCUUGAGCAUAUAUGCUGUGACCCGAAAGAUGGUGAACUAUACUUGAUCAGGUUGAAGUCAG